UUCAGCAUGAGCAGCAUCUGCGCCAAGU
rnacentral:sRNA from 1 species